rnacentral:piRNA from 1 species
UGACCUGACUGUUGAAGUGACAAAGCCUA